rnacentral:rRNA from 1 species
CGCUGGCGGCGUGCUUAACACAUGCAAGUCGAACGGAAAGGCCCUGCUUUUGUGGGGUGCUCGAGUGGCGAACGGGUGAGUAACACGUGAGUAACCUGCCCUUGACUUUGGGAUAACUUCAGGAAACUGGGGCUAAUACCGGAUAGGAGCUCCUGCUGCAUGGUGGGGGUUGGAAAGUUUCGGCGGUUGGGGAUGGACUCGCGGCUUAUCAGCUUGUUGGUGGGGUAGUGGCUUACCAAGGCUUUGACGGGUAGCCGGCCUGAGAGGGUGACCGGCCACAUUGGGACUGAGAUACGGCCCAGACUCCUACGGGAGGCAGCAGUGGGGAAUAUUGCACAAUGGGCGGAAGCCUGAUGCAGCAACGCCGCGUGCGGGAUGACGGCCUUCGGGUUGUAAACCGCUUUCGCCUGUGACGAAGCGUGAGUGACGGUAAUGGGUAAAGAAGCACCGGCUAACUACGUGCCAGCAGCCGCGGUGAUACGUAGGGUGCGAGCGUUGUCCGGAUUUAUUGGGCGUAAAGGGCUCGUAGGUGGUUGAUCGCGUCGGAAGUGUAAUCUUGGGGCUUAACCCUGAGCGUGCUUUCGAUACGGGUUGACUUGAGGAAGGUAGGGGAGAAUGGAAUUCCUGGUGGAGCGGUGGAAUGCGCAGAUAUCAGGAGGAACACCAGUGGCGAAGGCGGUUCUCUGGGCCUUUCCUGACGCUGACGAGCGAAAGCGUGGGGAGCGAACAGGCUUAGAUACCCUGGUAGUCCACGCUGUAAACGGUGGGUACUAGGUGUGGGGUCCAUUCCACGGGUUCCGUGCCGUAGCUAACGCUUUAAGUACCCCGCCUGGGGAGUACGGCCGCAAGGCUAAAACUCAAAGGAAUUGACGGGGCCCCGCACAAGCGGCGGAGCAUGCGGAUUAAUUCGAUGCAACGCGUAGAACCUUACCUGGGUUUGACAUGGAUCGGGAGUGCUCAGAGAUGGGUGUGCCUCUUUUGGGGUCGGUUCACAGGUGGUGCAUGGCUGUCGUCAGCUCGUGUCGUGAGAUGUUGGGUUAAGUCCCGCAACGAGCGCAACCCUUGUUCACUGUUGCCAGCACGUUAUGGUGGGGACUCAGUGGAGACCGCCGGGGUCAACUCGGAGGAAGGUGGGGAUGACGUCAAGUCAUCAUGCCCCUUAUGUCCAGGGCUUCACGCAUGCUACAAUGGCUGGUACAGAGAGUGGCGAGCCUGUGAGGGUGAGCGAAUCUCGGAAAGCCGGUCUCAGUUCGGAUUGGGGUCUGCAACUCGACCUCAUGAAGUCGGAGUCGCUAGUAAUCGCAGAUCAGCAACGCUGCGGUGAAUACGUUCCCGGGGCUUGUACACACCGCCCGUCAAGUCAUGAAAGUUGGUAACACCCGAAGCCGGUGGCCUAACCGUUGUGGGGGAGCCGUCGAAGGUGGGACUGGUGAAU